UCCGAGUUGGCCCCGGCAGUCUCCUACGAGUCCCCGGCUUUACCCGCUGGCAACUAGGAAAAGGGGUUGCGCUCGUUGCGCCACUUAAGGCAACACCUCACGACACGAGCUGACGACAGCCAUGCAACACCUUUAUGCGUUCCACCGGUUAAGGCGUCACUCUACUUUCAUAGAGCUAAUCCGCACACUUCGAGCCCGGGUAAGGUUCUUCGCGUUGCAUCGAAUUAAGCAACAUGCUCCACCGCUUGUGUGUGCCCCCGUCAAUUCCUUUGAGUUUUAGCCUUGCGGCCGUACUCCCCAGGCGGGGCACUUAAUGCGUUAGCUUCGGCACGGACGGAGUCGACACCGCCCACACCUAGUGCCCAUCGUUUACGGCGUGGACUAC
rnacentral:misc_RNA from 1 species